rnacentral:rRNA from 1 species
CACGUAGGGUGCGAGCGUUGUCUGGAAUUAUUGGGCGUAAAGAGCUCGUAGGCGGUGUGUCGCGUCGGCCGUGAAAACCUGCAGCUUAACUGUGGGCUUGCGGUCGAUACGGGCAUCACUGGAGUUCGGCAGGGGAGACUGGAAUUCCUGGUGUAGCGGUGAAAUGCGCAGAUAUCAGGAGGAAUACCGAUGGCGAAGGCAGGUCUCUGGGCUGACACUGACGCUCAUGCACGAAAGCGUGGGGAGCAAACAGG